GAUGAAGAACGUAGCGAAACGCGAUAAGUAAUGUGAAUUGCAGAAUCCAGUGAAUCAUCGAAUCUUUGAACGCACAUUGCGCCCGCCAGCAUUCUGGCGGGCAUGCCUGUUCGAGCGUCAUUUCAACCCUCGACCUCCCCUUGGGGAGGUCGGCGUUGGGGACCGGCAGCACACCGCCGGCCCUGAAAUGGAGUGGCGGCCCGUCCGCGGCGACCUCUGCGCAGUAAUACAGCUCGCACCGGGACCCCGACGCGGCCACGCCGUAAAACACCCAACUUCUGAACGUUGACCUCGAAUCAGGUAGGACUACCCGCUGAACUUAAGCAUAUCAAUAAGCGGCGGA
rnacentral:misc_RNA from 1 species